UACGAAGGGUGCAAGCGUUACUCGGAAUUACUGGGCGUAAAGAGCGCGCAGGCGGUCGAUCAAGUCGAGUGUGAAAGCCCCCGGCUCAACUGGGGAGGGUCAUUCGAUACUGAUCGACUCGAAGGCAGGAGAGGGUAGUGGAAUUCCCGGUGUAGUGGUGAAAUGCGUAGAUAUCGGGAGGAACACCAGUGGCGAAGGCGACUACCUGGCCUGUUCUUGACGCUGAGGCGCGAAAGCUAGGGGAGCAAACGGG
rnacentral:rRNA from 1 species